CACGUAGUUAGCCGGUGCUUAUUCUUCGGGUACCGUCAUUAGCCCGCGGUAUUAGCGCAGACCGUUUCUUCCCCGACAAAAGCGGUUUACAACCCGAAGGCCUUCUUCCCGCACGCGGCAUGGCUGGAUCAGGGUUGCCCCCCAUUGUCCAAAAUUCCCCACUGCUGCCUCCCGUAGGAGUCUGGGCCGUGUCUCAGUCCCAGUGUGGCUGGUCGUCCUCUCAGACCAGCUACAGAUCGUCGCCUUGGUAGGCCUUUACCCCGACCAACUAGCUAAUCUGACAUCGGCCGCUCCAAUAGCGCGAGGCCUUGCGGUCCCCCGCUUUCACCCGUAGGUCGUAUGCGGUAUUAAUCCGGCUUUCGCCGGGCUAUCCCCCGACUACUGGGCACGUUCCGAUGCAUUACUCACCCGUUCGCCACUCGUCGCCAGGUUGCCCCGCGUUACCGUUCGACUUGCAUGUGUAAGGCAUGCCGCCAGCGUUCAAUCUGAGCCAGGAUCAAACUC
rnacentral:rRNA from 1 species